GAUGAAGAACGCAGUGAAAUGCGAUAAGUAGUGUGAAUUGCAGAAUUCAGUGAAUCAUCGAAUCUUUGAACGCACAUUGCGCCCUUUGGUAUUCCAAAGGGCAUGCCUGUUCGAGCGUCAUUUGUACCCUCAAGCUUUGCUUGGUGUUGGGCGUCUUGUCUCUAGCUUUGCUGGAGACUCGCCUUAAAGUAAUUGGCAGCCGGCCUACUGGUUUCGGAGCGCAGCACAAGUCGCACUCUCUAUCAGCAAAGGUCUAGCAUCCAUUAAGCCUUUUUUUCGACUUUUGACCUCGGAUCAGGUAGGGAUACCCGCUGAACUUAAGCAUAUCAAUAAGCGGAGGA
rnacentral:misc_RNA from 1 species